GGGUCAGUAGGUUGGUCGUGCCACCGGUACGUACUGGUCUCACUGAUUCCUCCUUCCUGAAGAACCGUAAUGCCAUUAAUUUGGUGUUGCGGGGAAACAGGACUGUUACUUUGAAAAAAUUAGAGUGUUUAAAGCAAGAUAACUCUUGAAUACAUUAGCAUGGAAUAAUGAAAUAGGACGAUCGAUCAUAUUUUGUUGGUUUCUAGGAUUGACGUA
rnacentral:rRNA from 1 species